AUGACAGCGAGAGAGAGGGGUAGUAGCACAAGGGGUCGCACUUUCCAUGGGUCUAAGCCUCAAUAAAAGGGAAUCUGGCAGCGUUGUUGGGAGGUUCCAGUUUUCGGUGGGUGGCCAGGUGGUUGUUUGGCUUCACAUGCUUUGUGCAUGCGAUCGUGGGCCACAGAAGAACAAAGAUUGAAGUGGGAUUGCCUGGGCGUGGGGUUCGACUCCACAGGGCCACACUUGACGCUUUGCAGGAUUUGCCGUGACAGGGUGUGGGCUUAUUAGACACUACAGGAAAACACUGGAUGUACAUGACAACUAUUGAUUAACUGCUGAAAGAAAGUCAUCAAAAAUGGGAAACGCACCAUCAGAGAGCAACAUGGGCAACAACCUGAGAUGCUGGAAGUGUUAUAAAUUACUUCCUCCAUGCAAAAGCGAUCGAUUUUUUCCAACAGACUAUUAAUGGGCAACAUGUGUAUGCGUUCCAUGGAGGUCUAUAUUAUAGACCAGUUGGCCAGCAUAAUAUGUACGAGUGUAGGGAAUGCUUUUUUAAAAACUAGGAGAGAAGAGGCCUUUGGCUAACCCUAACCUUUUAACAAUCAUAGAAAAACAUUAUUACACAUAUUCACAACCCUGCAGAAAAGCAAUGUAUGAAUUUUCAGAAACUGAGAACAAGCCAGUCAUUGUUUACAGCACAGAACAUUUCCUUCCUCCAAACGGAGAUUAAAUGAGUUUGAAGAUAACCAUAAAUCAGGCAGUGGCAGUGAUGAGUUUCAAGAAAUGCAGUAUUCCAGUUUCAAUCUCAGUCUGAGACAGCUGAUCAACUGGAGACAGCUGAUCAACUUGGGGAUUGGGGGGUUUAGUAGAAGCCUAUGUGUCAUCUUUUGCUGCGUUCGUCAACCAGACAGCAUGUGGGGGUUUUCCAUGCUCACGCAUCAAAAUGAAGCCCACUUAGAAGCCACUAAAAUGCUCCUCAAACUAGUUGUUUAUAAACCAAUGGACCCCAAAUGGAGGCAGUCACGCUGCUCAAAGCACUGUCACAGAAAUAUGCACAUGAUGUUUCAAUAAGUGAAAUCCUUACCUUGGUACAAGACUAUGACAUAUCACCAGAUUGGACUGAUGAGUGUGGGAAAGGAGUUUUAGAUGAGGUCUUCAUUCUGAGCUUUCUUGAGGGUCUCCUGCAACUGUAAAUAAACAGAUGUUGAUUAAAAAAAAACAAAAAAAAAACAUGUCUCCUUCAGGCAAAUGAUGUUUGAAGAUUUUAUUUACCUGCGUGGAACAAUUUCAAGACUUAAAAGAAGAAACCAAAGAAGUCUUCAAGAUGGUUUCAAAUCUUGGAGAACAAAGACUUUGGUCACCAGUAAGUAAGUAAGUGAGUAAAAAAUUUUUUAUAUAAUACCUCUGAAGACAUAAAUCAUAAAGUGCUUCACAACACUAAAACAAAGUACAAUUGAGGUAAGGAGAAAAAAAAACUAACCAAACGCAAGUCUAAAAAAAUUAGUUUUUAGCUUUUUUUUUUUAAAAAAAAAAGACUCCACCGAAUCCACAGUUCUUAUACACAAGGGGAUAGAGUUCCCAAGUCAGGGAGCUACUUUUGCAAAAACUCUGUCUCCUUUAAUUUUCAGCCUUGUGUGAUGUAAGGCCAGUAGGCCUUUAUCACAUGACCUCAGAGGCCUGGGGGGAAUGUACGGAUGCAAGAAGUAUAUGUUGGGGCUUGACCAUGAAGACUUCUAUAAGUCAGGACCAGAAUCUUAAACUGGACUCUGAAAUUAAUGGGGAUUCAGUGUAGCUAGAGAUGCUCCUGGGAGUUUAGUAGAAGCCUUAACUUUCUAAAGCCUUUGACUUUCUAUUGCAUGGCACUGAACAGGAGUGGCCCUCCAAUCUCAUUGUACAUCCUGUAUAAUGACAAUAAAGGCAUUCUAUGCUAUUCUAUUCUAAA